rnacentral:rRNA from 1 species
UACGUAGGGGGCGAGCGUUGUCCGGAAUUAUUGGGCGUAAAGGGCUCGUAGGCGGUUUGUCGCGUCGGGAGUGAAAACCAGGUGCUUAACACCUGGCUUGCUUUCGAUACGGGCAGACUAGAGGUAUUCAGGGGAGAACGGAAUUCCUGGUGUGGCGGUGAAAUGCGCAGAUAUCAGGAGGAACACCGGUGGCGAAGGCGGUUCUCUGGGAAUGACCUGACGCUGAGGAGCGAAAGUGUGGGGAGCGAACAGG